UGUGGACCUUUUUCCUUCUUAUAGAUUGUGGGCCUUUUUCCUCUCUCUGUAAACACAAUCUCCUCUCCAACCCUAAAACGGCCGCUCAUCUCCCUUCUUUCGUCUGCGAGCCGUGCUUUUGAACAGAGAAAAGAUGUCAAUUUCAUUCGUCCAGUUACACGACCUUCCUUUUGAACCUGAAUGGUUUGUUUUGUUCGACCAACCGUUUCACCACCUCGUCUCCGCUGUGUUGAGCUGUUUGUGAUAAGAACCACCGUGCCGGCGUUCAUAUGGCUACCAUGAGCUUCAUUUCAUCUUCUUCAAGGGUAAAAAAUUUAGGAUCCUGGAGACGAGAAACUAUAAAUUAAUAAGGACUUUGUGAAAGUGUAUCUGUGCUUGCUUCUUAGUAAUAAUAUUGAUUUGCUUAUGCUUGGAGUGAAGUUCCUGGAAGAGUUAGAACUGCCGUUAGGUUGUGCCUGAGGAAUGCCGAGUAAUCAGUGUGUUGAAUUGCAGCCGGAGGGACUCUGGAUUAAGGUGUGAGAAACAUAAUCGUUUAAUCUUGUGGAUCUUUGGAGUAAAGACUCUUGCGUAGAAGUUCUACUCGCAACUGCUUAAAUGUACCUUUGUGACUUGGAUGUCAUCUGAGCAUCUACAAACGAAGUGGUUUUUAUUUUAUUGUCAAAGGGUGCUAGGUGUGCAUAUAUCCCUUUUAGAGGUAAAUCACGGAGUGAAUUAAAGGUUAUUACACUAUGUGUUAAUGGAAACCACUGUGUGAAGAUAUUUAAUUGUUUAGAUUUUCUUUGGUUGUCUGAAAUAAUUUGUGGUUUCUUUAUCUAAAAAUGAAUAUUAUUUAUUGAUUCGGUACUUUUGCACUUUCUUUUAAAGGCGAUAUAUCCCAUACCUUCUGUAGAUCUCCAAUGGAGUUAUGAUCAUUUUAUUGAACAUAGAAAGAAGACUUCAAAUAGUAUAGUAGUUUGAGAAGCUGAAGAAUACCAUUUUUAAGAAAAAAAAAAUACCAUUUUUAAGAAAAAAAGAAUACCAUUUUUAAGAAAAAAAGAAUCACUAGCUAGAUAAUAAACCUGGAAUCAAAACCACUCAAAUGGGAUAACAUAAUGGAUAUCAAAAUCACUCAAAUCAAAACCACUCAAAUGGGAUAACAUAAUGGACAAUGAGCAGAAUAAAAAACUCAGGCCCAGGUUGCCUCAUGUUUGUUAAAAAACUAAAUUAUUUUGAGGUAUGAAAAUAACACUUUACUCUUUAUAUAGACAAAACUUAAUGUAAAUUCAACUUUUGAUAAUUAAUUGGUUCUCUUGGUUCUCUUUAAAAGAUUCCUUAAAUAUACAAUUUGACCAUCCAAUAGUUUGAAUUGGAAAAUGAUACAAUUUUACCAUUGGACAGGAUUAAUUUCCAAUAGUUUGAAUUGGAAAAUGAGUUUUAUACUUUUGGGUAUGAUAUAAACUUAAGUUCAACAAAUUAUAUUCUUUAAAUUCUUUGCACUCAUUUAUGAAUGUCAAAAAUAAACUAUUUUAUAUUCAAUUAGUUUUUAACUAUAUUUACCAAAACAUUUCAUUUAAAAUCAUGUUUCUGAAAUAAAUUUAAAAAUAUAACAUAAAUAUAAAAUCUUUAUUAUAAAAUGUCUUAAUAAAACUUAUUAGCACUUUAUCCACAAAAUCUUUAUUAUAAAAUGUCUUAAUAAAAUUUGGGCAACCUAGGCCAGAGUUUUUUAUUCUUAUUCUGCUCAUCGUACAUUACGUUAUUUUGAUUCCUGGUUUAUUAUUUACAUAGUGAUUUUUUUUUUUAAAAAUGGUAUUCUUUAGCUUCCUUCUCAAACUACUAUACUAUUCUUUAGCUUCCUUCUCAAACUUCUAGUUUGCUUCCUUCUCAAACUUCUAGUUUAUUAUCCACAUAGUGAUUCUUUUUUUUUUAAAAAUGGUAUUCUUUAGCUUCCUUCUCAAACUACUAUACUAUUCUUUAGCUUCCUUCUCAAACUUCUAUACUAUUUGGAGUCUUCUUUCUAUGUUCAAAUAUUUUCAAGCCUAUAAAAUGAUCAUGACCCCAUUGGGGAUCUACGGAAGUGCAAAAGUACCGAUUAAAUAAAUAGACCACAAAUGUAUUCAUUUUUAGAUAAAUAGACCACAAAUUAUCUCAGACAACUAAAGAAAAUCUAAAUAACUAAAUAUCUUCGCAAAAUGGUUUUCAUUUACAUAUAUCGUAAUAACCUUUAAUUUGUGAUUUACCUCUAAAAGGGAUAUAUGCACACCUAACUCAGGUCCUAGAUUGUUUAAACUUAGAUCCAUAAAACUCUAAAAGGGAUAUAUGCACACCUAACUCAGGUCCUAGAUUGUUUAAACUUAGAUCCAUAAAAACUCAGAUCCAUCGGGUCCUAGAUUGUUUAAACUUAGAUCCAUAAAAACUCAUAUUUUAAGGUAAAUUGUUUCAUUGAAAAUCUUUAGUAUUAUUUUUUAUUUUGAUCAUCCAUUUUAUCAUGGCGACACCUCUGGUUAAUCCUCUUGCGGUUUCAUAGAUAGAGCAACAAUUUACUCUUGACUCUGACUCUAUUAAUAAUUUAGGCAGGACGACAUAUGUGGUUACAGUCGUGAAACAUCAAUUUACUAUUUAUGUGGUUCCAGUCACAUAUCAUCAAUUUAUUUUUGACUUUGUUAAUAUGAUUAUUUCUUUUAAUGCUUUUUAUCAUUUACCCAAUCCAAUUCUUUCUUGAUUUUAAAUAAUAUUGCAAUUAUGUUUUCUUCUCUUUCUUUCAACAUUUUCUUUAUUUUUUUUAUGUUCUUUAAGUAAAUUAAUUUUAGAUUUUCUUAAUAAUGAAGGCGUGUCAGUCUUGAAUGGAGUACUAGAGUUUAUAAACAAUAUCAUUCAUUAAAUUUUUUUUUAAGAUUUUGAAGGAUGAUAAGAUAAAAAUUCUUGAUCAGAUUAAAAAUGAUAAUAAUGUCCAUCUCAUUUGCUUUGUGUGUGGCAAUAACUAUUGAAAUGAACAUUAUUAUCAUUUUUAAUUUGAUUGAAAUUUUUUAUCUCUUCAUCCUUUGAAAUUCUUUUUUCAAACCAUUUAUAAAAUUUAUCUUUUUCUAAAAAUACAUAAUAAACAAAAGUGAUUAAUGAUAAUCUUUAAAUAUAUAUAAUAUUUGUAUUAUAUAAUUAUAUAAAUGUCUCAUUCAUAUCGUUGUUUUGACAUAACAAAACCGUAAAGGUAUCUAUUUUUUUGAAUGAAUCAUAUUGUUAAUAAGCUCUAGUACAACAUUCAAAUCUGACACGAUAUGAAGGGUAAAUGAUAAGAUGUAAAAGAAAUGAUCAUAUCACUAUAUUCAUGCAUCACUAUAUUCAUGCAUAAAUUGAUAGUGCAUGUUACUUCAUGACUGAAACCUAAGUAGGAGUAAAUUGGUGCUUCAUGAUUGAAACCUAGGUCUUAGUUUUUUUUCUUUGCUCUUUGUUCAAUAUGUUAUCCCAUUUGAAUGAUUUUGAUUUGUUAUUUCUAUAACAGUCCAUCGGUUCGGAUUCGGUUAACAUCGUUCUAAUGAUUUUUUAAAAAUGGUUUUCAUUGUCUUCUUUAGCUUCCUUUUCGAAUAUUUUCAAACCUUUAAAAUAUUCAUGGCAAAUUUUGUCAUGUGUUAACCUAUGUUUCCAUUGGGGAUCUACGCCAGACAUGAGAAAUAACACGUGAGUAACAGCGAUUUCGAUCUUUGAAUAUGUUGGUGGUGACACUAUAGUCCCUUGAAUUUAGUUGUAAUUGCAAAAACAUUUCUCAAAUGUGUCUUUUGCAAAUCAAUUUGGUCUCCCACUCAUCUGUUUGGUCCUCAAGGAUGCAUUUGAAAUUUCAAUACAUUUAGAGACCAUAAAAAAUCAACCUAACAUAUUUAGGGAUCAAAAUGAGUGUCCAGUCGAAAAAUGUUUUGUUAAUAACAGAUGUAAAAGAUUGGUAUCAUUGGUCCUCAAGGAUGCUUUUGAAAUUUCAAUACAUUUAGAGACCAUUAAAAAUCAACCUAACAUAUUUAGAGAUCAAAAUGAGUGUCCAGUCGAAAAAUGUUUUGUUAAUAACAGAUGUAAAAGAUUGGUAUCAUUGGUUAUCACAGUUGAAGCCGCAUCACAAUUCUUGAUACUGCGGAUAAUCACAUUCAUAUGCGACUGAUAAAACCUAAAUUGAGGCAUUGGCUGCAUCAGUACUAUGUUUUCUAUUGGCCCUUAUUGUUGCAUCUGGAAACUUAAGGAACAUAACAAGUUAACAACAGUUGGUGUUUCAUUGUUCCUUGUUCUAUCAAUCCCUUCAUAUAUUCAACAAUACUAGCCUCAAUCUAGUUUGAUAUUGCCAUCUUAUCUGGUUCCUUAUGCAGCUGCUUCUAGUGGACCAUUUCAUUCAGGCAUUAAUCAGGCAACUUAUCUAUGAUGACAUCCCUUGGAUCCAAUAAUUUGUUUUUAAAAAGAAUGAAACUAAACUAACUUGUCCUAUUUGUGUUUGCUUGAUUUUGCAAUCAAUGCCCUCUUGUCUUUAAACAGGUGGUUACAAUGUUGGUGGCAUUCGUACUGGAAAACACGGUACCAAAAAAUUCUCAAGAACAAACAGAGUAUAUAUGGAUGCUGCCUCAAGACAUUGAUAGUGUUCCCUUGCUGGCAUCUGCAUAUUCGCUGCCAAGGAAAGUUCUAGAUGUUUCUGUUAUGCAAAACAGAGUAUGAUUACAAAGUUUUUUUGUCUGAGUUCCUCUAUUCCGCUUGUGAGCCAACAUAGCUGGGAUGUAGUGACGUUUUUGUAUGCCAAUAUUUGAAGCUACUUAUACUCAUACUUCUAUGCCACCAUGAUGCCUGCACCGUAGAAUCAAUAACUAAGAAUGGUUACCGGUGUAGUUAUUCUUCUGCACAAAUUUGACAUUUCCUGCAUAAAAGAAUCUCAGGAACAAUGCAAACAAUAACCAACAAUUUCAAGUUUCAUACAUCAUAAAAUUGUAUCAUACAACAGUUGUAAAACUGAAUCUCAAAAUCUCAUAAUCCGUUGAAAUGUGUUUAAUCUAAAACAAUAGUUAGAUA